UUACUUUUCUCUUCCUCUUCCUUUUCUUUUUUUUCUUCCUCUUCCUCUUCUUUCACAAAUCGUGCAAAGGAUUCUGGAUCUUGAGCUGCUUCUUGCAAACGUUCCAAGUAUAAAGUCUUUGGACUUGGUUUUUUU
rnacentral:ribozyme from 13 species